GUCAUGGCUGGCAAACCGUGAAGGGGAGGGAAGGAUUCUCCGAUGCAUCCACACGAAACCACCCCCCGAGACGAAACUCCCGUGUGGGGGGCAAAGGCGGUCGAGUUGGGUGAGUCACCCUCUCCUGCCCCCUGUCGUCGCUAUCAUUUCGAUUCAAUGAAGGUGCUUCAUCCUUGCCGUGCCAUCCAACGGUGGAUUCCCUUCGUCGGGUGCUGCGGUGUGGGCCUGCCAGCCGAAGGGCCAUUGUGCAGUGCUGCAGGUUUUACUUUGUGGGUUCCCUCAAUGGUUGCCUGCCUUGGUCGCGUGAGCACGCGAGGCAUCGCGGUAGGCCAACGUGUGGGGGAAGGUGUCCGCACCGUCGCCUGCCGGUCGACCCCGUCGCUACCAUCCAAGGUGAUGGCCAUUCGGUUGGUUCCAUAAGCAGACCUCCGACGUAAUGCGCUCAAGCGGUACUAUCGGUCCUUCAUAGCCCAACGCCCAGCACGAUCGGCCUCGGCACCGAUCGAAUCCGUUUUUGGGCGAGCAUUGUUUCAAGGCUGCCACAACCCCCUACCACCACGUUCGCCCAACAUCGUCGUGUGGUGGGCCGGCCCUUCGACGAUAGCACUCAUGAUCCGAGUCGUGGGGACGACACCCUGUCGGAUGGAGCCGUCCUCACCCUCAGCCCCUGCGCCUUCGUUUGGUUGGGCGGGGACAACCCCUCUUCUCCCUUUGUUGCUCACCUCUCCUAUCGUGGGGGCCAAACUCCUUUGCCGGGCCGCUCUUGGAAGCAUCACCUGACACCACGGGUUUUGGUUCCUUUGGGUGGGCAGCGACAGGGGACUUGGGCGCGUCAAGAAGAGACCCCCCCAAAAAACAUUCGGUGCCACUCCGCACCAAGGACAUUGAUGCAAGCCGUGUCGGACCCCCGUGCCUUGUGCGCGGAGGGCGGCCGACAUCUAACC
rnacentral:precursor_RNA from 1 species